CCUACGGGUGGCUGCAGUGGGGAAUAUUGGACAAUGGGCGAAAGCCUGAUCCAGCCAUGCCGCGUGUGUGAAGAAGGCCUUCGGGUUGUAAAGCACUUUCAGUGGGGAAGAAAGCCUUGGGGCUAAUACCCUCGAGGAAGGACAUCACCCACAGAAGAAGCACCGGCUAACUCCGUGCCAGCAGCUGCGGUAAUACGGAGGGUGCGAGCGUUAAUCGGAAUUACUGGGCGUAAAGCGCGCGUAGGCGGUCUGAUAAGCCGGUUGUGAAAGCCCCGGGCUCAACCUGGGAACGGCAUCCGGAACUGUCAGGCUAGAGUGCAGGAGAGGAAGGUAGAAUUCCCGGUGUAGCGGUGAAAUGCGUAGAGAUCGGGAGGAAUACCAGUGGCGAAGGCGGCCUUCUGGACUGACACUGACGCUGAGGUGCGAAAGCGUGGGUAGCAAACAGGAUUAGAUACCCCUGUAGUC
rnacentral:rRNA from 1 species